GCCGUCGUCGACCAGUGGCAGGUCACCUCCAACAGUUGAUCACUUUGCGUCGAUAUAAAACUGGAGGAACCGGGGGUUCGAUUCCUCCCGACGGCA